UAUAUACCCCAUGAUCCUCCCUAAGGAGCUUUGGGUUUUGAUUAGUUAAAAGUUAGCCCUCGCUACUACUUCGUGUAAUCUCGUGUGUCGGUUAGACCACCUGUUUACUGCUUUCGGAACCCCAACUUAUCGUCUCGUUGAAACAUUGGUUUGAUAUAGUAUAUUCGCAAUUUCAGAUUGCAUCCGCUAUUUAUCUUGUUCUUCGAUUGCUUGAAGGAACAAAGACCUUCGUGGUCAGGUUGAUCGUGCCCCCGUGUGAUCAAUAACCCUCUGGAGUUGGUGUAUCGAUUGCUAAGGCGCUGCCUCCUAGGCCGUAGUCGGAUCGUCACGUCACCUCCUACCCAAAUCGAGAGUUAAAAUCUCAUCAAAAGAUCGGGCCAGCCCCACCCAUAUCACGUGGUAUCAGAGCUUAAGGUUAAUCGGUGAGAUUUUUCCAGUUUUUCCAUUGUAUAGAUCUGUUUUACCUAUAGUCCAGAAAAAGCCAAUAAAAAAAGUAGAGAUUAGUUUUCUUUGUCCUAAAACCAAUCCGAGCCUUGCAAUUUUCACAUUAGUAUUUACAUUGUUGAAUCUUUGGUGCAUUAAUCGUGUCGAGUUGUUGGAUUAGAUUGGAUCGUUUUUCAGAUUUUUUCUACUAAAUCGAACUUUCUUUUGGUUUUCUUGUUCUUCGUGUGACGCAGGUUUGCUUUAUCAAUCUUCCGUCGCCAAACUCCCGGCCACACCACCCCCACGCCAUAAUCUUCCGCUACCACCAUAUCUUCCAUCGAGUCCUACACCGAGUUCUUCUCCGAGUUCGAGUCCAAGUCCAAUCGAGAGUGCUUUUGGAAAGUGUUUCAUAAUAAAUCGAAUUUUGUUUAGAGAUCAAGUUGUUUGGAAAGUUGUGAAAAAAGAAAGGAAAGAAAAAAAAAGAGAGAAAGAAUCCGUUUAGGAUCCACGUUGAGAGAAUUUUAGUUUCGGGUGGGUUUGACCCGUGUUCAGUAACACGGACGUAUCUUUUUCAUACCAACUCGGAUUUGGACGGUUUUGGACUUUUUGGAAAGCCCACGACGAGGCGCAUGAGGAAACAUUCAAGGCGUUGGCCUGCACUUUGACCCUCAAAUUCGGCUUCUAAGGUGGUCUUUCGAAGCUUCCAAGUUUCUGCAUCCGUUUUCAGGCGUCGUUGCAGCCUGGUGUUUUGCAGUUUUCUCCACCGUCCGACAUCUGUUUUGAGUGAUCUUGCCCUUGAUGGAAAGCUUUUGUCGAUACGCUUCUAACCCAUAUUUUUUCAUAUUUUUCUGAAUUUUCCUUACUGCAGCCUCUGCUGUGCUUCGAUAGACCGACGUACAGUUUUUCGGUCCUUCUUUUGCGUGAGUUUCUGGGGUUAAAAAAAAGAAAAAAGAAGAAGAAGACAGAAAGAAGGCCACAAAAAGAAAAAAAAAGAAAAAGAAAAUCCCAGGGAUUUACUUGUUGUGCCAUCUUUUGAUCUAUCUAUUCCUACCUUCUUCAGUAUAUAGGCUUCGAUUAUUUCUGUAAUUCGUUCUUAUCGACUCCAGCAGCUAGGACUAGCAUUAUUGAGUUGUCCGUGACGGACAAAACAAGCUGACGGAUCUGUUUUUCUGUUUCCUAAAGAGUUGUUGUUUUGUUAGGAAACUUAGAGAUAGAGUUGCAUUUUGUCCCCAUGCCCAAGUUGGUCGAAAAUCCAUCUUUCUCCUCCUUUAUAUACCCCAUGAGCCCCCCUAUGGAGAUUUGGGUUUUGAUUAGUUAAAAGUUAGCUAUCGCUACUACUUCGUGUAAUCGCGUGUGUCGGUUAGACCACCUGUUUUACUGC
rnacentral:lncRNA from 1 species